rnacentral:rRNA from 1 species
ACGUAGGGAGCAAGCGUUGUUCGGAUUUACUGGGCGUAAAGGGCGCGUAGGUGGCCCGGUCAGCGUGCGGUGAAAGCUCGGGGCUCAACCCCGAGUCGGCCGUGCGAACUGCUGGGCUCGAGCACUGUAGAGGCAGGCGGAAUUCCGGGUGUAGCGGUGGAAUGCGUAGAGAUCCGGAAGAACACCGGUGGCGAAGGCGGCCUGCUGGGCAGUGGCUGACACUGAGGCGCGACAGCGUGGGGAGCAAACAGGA